GGCAAGAUGGCCGAGUUGGUCCAAGGCGUCAGGUUAAGGUCCACCUUAAUACCCCAGCUUUACAGCUUCCUGAUCAUCGUAAGAUGGCGUGGGUUCGAAUCCCACUCUUGUCA
rnacentral:tRNA from 1 species